CCGUGAUAAAGUAGCAUAAUCACUUGUCACUUAAUUGGUGACUGGAAUGAAUGGCUAAACGAAUCCUCCCCUGUCUCUGAAGGAAUCCUGGCAAAUUUGAAAUAGCAGUGAAGAUGCUGCUAAAUAAUUGUAAGACGAAAAGACCCUAUCGAGCUUUACUGGAAGCUUGUAAAAUAAUAUAACUAUUAACAACAAAGACAUCUAAAUUGCAAGCCUGACAGUUUGGUUGGGGCGACCACCCCUAAAAAUGUAUCAGGGGAACUCUAAAGGCUAUCAUAAUAUGAAAAACUGCCUUACUGGAGACAAACAAGUCAAUCAGUUAUAAUCUAUAGGACAUAUUGACCCGUUAUUUUAUUUCACAAUAAAUAACGACUAUGAAAAAAGUUACCGUAGGGAUAACAGGGUAAUAUUUUCAGAGAGUUCAUAUCGAUGAAAAU
rnacentral:rRNA from 1 species